GGAGUGAGUUGAGUUUUGCAGUAACAACAUUUAAAAAGCAAAGUUUGAGGAGUUGAGUUCAACUUAAGGAGACAAUCUUUGUUUCUUCAGAUAUCAGAAAUGUCAGGCUUUUGUUACUGUCUUUUAGCAGUGCUAUUAUUUUGAAGAUGAUAUUUGUUCUGUGUGGUUUUAAUAUACAGAUGUCCUCUGCCUGAACAGUUCAGUAGAAACUAGGUAUAAAGUACAAGAAGCAAGCAAGAGAGGGUAAGAGAAAAAAAAAUAAAUCUCUUUAUUAUGGUGCAUAAACCUUCAGUGUGAGGGAGCUUUGCAGCUGCACAAGGAGAAAAAUGCAUUCAAAAAUAUAAUGCAAGUGUGAAUAAUCCUUUCUCGAAUGCUGCUUGCAGACUGCUCCAGCUUUGUCAGGUGAACUUGAACCGGGCCAUCAGAUUUGCCCCCAUUCCCAUUGCACACUCUGUCUAUCACCCCAGGGCAUUCACCAUCUUGACUGUUGUUUAAAGAGAACAAGCAAUCCAUCAUUGAGCCAGGGAGUCACUUUCUCAUAGAAAAGUAAAAUCAGCAUGUGACACUACUCAGCCCUAGUGUUUUGCAGAUUAAAAUGAUACAUGGCGACUCACGUGUUACUAGGAGGAUUAAGUUGGUUAUCUUGUUCCAUUGCCCAGACAAAAGAAUUCCCCUCAAGCAGUAAGUGGGAGCUUUACAGAAGCUAAAAUCGUUGGGCUCAACUAUACAGUGGUAAGACAGAGAAUUUA
rnacentral:lncRNA from 1 species